GAUGAACGCUGGCGGCGUGCCUAAUACAUGCAAGUCGAGCGAAUGGAUUAAGAGCUUGCUCUUAUGAAGUUAGCGGCGGACGGGUGAGUAACACGUGGGUAACCUGCCCAUAAGAUUGGGAUAACUCCGGGAAACCGGGGCUAAUACCGGAUAACAUUUUGAACCGCAUGGUUCGAAAUUGAAAGGCGGCUUCGGCUGUCACUUAUGGAUGGACCCGCGUCGCAUUAGCUAGUUGGUGAGGUACCGGCUCACCAAGGCAACGAUGCGUAGCCGACCUGAGAGGGUGAUCGGCCAGACUGGGACGGAGACACGGCCCAGACUCCUACGGGAGGCAGCAGUAGGGAAUCUUCCGCAAUGGACGAAAGUCUGACGGAGCAACGCCGCGUGAGUGAUGAAGGCUUUCGGGUCGUAAAACUCUGUUGUUAGGGAAGAACAAGUGCUAGUUGAAUAAGCUGGCACCUUGACGGUACCUAACCAGAAAGCCACGGCUAACUACGUGCCAGCCGCCGCGGUAA
rnacentral:rRNA from 1 species